UUAAAAAAAACUACCUUUUUAAAGCCUCAAGAAAUCUGUCUGAUCAUGUCCUUUAUGAUCACAGUGCAUGAACCAGUUACACAUGAAAUAAACUGGCAAGUUAUGCUUUACUAAAAGAUCAAAUGUAGAAUGAGAAAAGUGGGAACACCUUCACACCUGACUGUAAACUAUAACAUUGGAUCAGACAAGAUGGAAACAAUUGGACUAUUUGGAAAACAAUAAGAUUCAAACAAUGACAAGGGUGAAAUUCUGCAGUGGAAGUGCCCUGACUUGUUGAAAGUUAAUCCACAUCAGAGAUUUUUUUUUUUAAGAAACUUGGUCUCUCUGAUGGAAAAAGUUCUUGUGCAACAUUGUAUCUGGAAGGCCUACAUGGAGACAAAUUUGUUAGUCAACAGUUUCAUCAAGAAAUAUUUUCGACGAAAAGGAUACUUUAAUCCACCCUUGAAAAGUUGAACAACAAAACUUUACAAAAAUGCAAGGAAAUGAAUAACCUUUCCCUGCAAUAAAAAAAUUGACUAAUAAUAUUUUCCAUGCAUGUACAUAGGGUUUAGAUGCCAAUUGCACAGCCUUAGAACCAUUAUCUGAAAAAAUAAACCAAGGACCAUCUUGUAAC